CGAUGUUUUUCCCUGGGACUGCGUGGCUGGCGAGAUGGUAACGCCGAGGCGGGGAGCAGCUUCACAGCUCUCUGCCCUCAGCGGAGCCACCGCCUGAGCAGCGCCGUGCCACAGCCGCGCCACAGCCAGGCGCUCUCCCCGUGCCCGUGCCUCGCUGCCCGGCGUGGGGAGCGGCACUCCCGCUCCCGGGGGCUCCUCGGGGAUCCACCGCCUGCCGGCUUCCCUGCGCCAUCCUCCGGGAAGGCCUGUCCCCCCGUGCACGUGCCUGGGAAAGUGCCAAGAUCACAAUCAAAAAGGUCAUCAAUGAAGAUUUGUUCAUGCAGCUAAGCAAACUGUUCAUGGAGAGAGCUCUAAACGAAACAGGGAAUGAAUACCACGUAACCAGACAGCCAUAAAUCUUCAGCUGCAGACCACUGAUAGGAGUCUAUAGACCACCAGUUUGGGAAACCUCUGCUUUAAACCUCUAAAUGAUUCAACAUUUGUUCCCUCUGAUGACAUCGCGAAUCUGGGAAUGAAGAACUUCUUAGAGCUGAUUGGAAAUGGCAUUACAGAGCUGAAACUUAACUGGAGGAAAUAUAUCUCCUGAAGAAGAAAAUAUAAUGCACUAUAAGGAUCUGACUUCUGGUGAAAAACUCAAGCCUAGAGAAAACUUGUCCGCUUUGUUAGGAAGGAUGGGUUGGACAAUUUUCUUCAGUUCCAAAGGAUAUCUGAAUGCCAUGCUGAGCUUAAUCUCUGCAGCAUGCUCUGUGCUUCUCAUCUCUUCCUGAUGCACUGCAUGGUUAUCCUGAA